UUACAAAGAGUAAACUAAGUAUGUUGU
rnacentral:sRNA from 1 species